rnacentral:lncRNA from 1 species
GCACGUUUGAAGACUAAUAUCCUCUUUGAAUCAGCGAAGUCAGGAGGCCUUGGACGGUGGAGAUUGAUUGAAGAUAAGGCAAUUUUGCUGGUUCAAGAUUUGCCAGCAUGCAGCGGUAAAGAUCUCAGAGGCACCGGAUACAGGCGCCGAGGCCCGUGCAAAGCGAAAUCAAUCAAUGAAGGAUCCCUGCGGAAACCAU